GCCUGCGCAAUCCACCACUCACCGGGUUCCGGAAAGCACUCUGAGCCUACCCUUCCCAGCGCGCAGGCGCCUGGUACGGCUUUCCGCUGCCUACGUGACCGCGGACAGGAAGCGCGGCCUCCGCCUUGAUACUAAGUCAAUGGGCCCGCCUACUUCUGCCUCGCGGCGUCUCAGGACGCAAGGUGGUUUUCAGGUUUCGUUGGAAGAAAUACACUCUCGUCCCACUGAAAGGCCCAUUCCAGUCAGCAUGGCAAAAUGAGGAAACCACUGACAGGUGAAGAAUCUGCACAACGGAAAACCACCUUGACCAUCUCAUGACUUUAUACAAGAAUCGGAGGACAGGUUUCCACUCCAUUGCCCAGGCUGGAGUGCAGUGGUGUG